UUGAGCAUCAAACUUUUAAAUUGAAGAGUUUGAUCAUGGCUCAGAUUGAACGCUGGCGGCAGGCCUAACACAUGCAAGUCGAACGGUAACAGGAAGAAGCUUGCUUCUUUGCUGACGAGUGGCGGACGGGUGAGUAAUGUCUGGGAAACUGCCUGAUGGAGGGGG
rnacentral:rRNA from 1 species